CUCUCUCUCCCCAAGCCUCUGCAGUUCUGUGCAGGAAAAUCUUCCUCCUCGAGUUACUGCCUCAAUCCAUCAACACAGGGACUGCUGUUCCUCUCAACCUGUGGAGUGUUAGAGGGAACAGUUCUUACUCUUCACCAAAGGAAGGGGAGCAGCUCUUCUUCUUCUGAUAAGAGAGGACAUCAGUUGGCCAGUUUACCAGUGGGUGGGGUUACUGAGCCACAGAAGCUGAAAACAAGACCCGCCCUGGCCCUUUCUUUGUGCUGCUUGACCUGCGGCUGGGUGAGCAGGCCCAGGGUUCCCUUCUCUUGGCUUCCCGUCCCUGUGCGGUCAGUGUACCUGGGCAGGGCUCAGGAACUGCCUUGUCGGGGCAGCCUGGAAGCCAGUCAUUUCUCUCCUGCUCUGGAACUCUGUGUUCUGCCAGGGACACAGUUUGUGGGGCAGGCCUGAGACCUUCCAUGUAGCUGGUGGGGUAAGUGGGCUCGGAGUCUGGUUAACAGAACCCACCUACCAAGACAAGUUUCAGGGUCAGAUUUAAUAUAUAAAACUGGCCACAAUUUGGCUCCUUCCUGAUUGCUCAGCCAUGUGUUUAUUGUCAUUCUACUUCUUUUUGUCCCUUUACCUCUAACUAUGUCCCACUAGAAGACAUCUUAAAGUGAAACUGUAAGGGAGGAUAUGAGUGGCAUCUUUUUGAGUCCUUGCAUUUAUAAGAACAUCCUGUUUCCCUCAGCAAAUGAGAGGCAAACAGGUUGCAUGUGGUAUUGUGAAGUCAGAAUAUUUCCCCCUUAAAAUUCUAAAGACCAAUGUUUCCUUGUCCUUCAAGAUAAGACGGGUGUUAGGUAACAGUUGGAUUUUGUGAUCACUUAAGUUUUGAAAUUCUGGGUUAAAGAUAAGAAGUUUAUUAACUGCAGGACUUUUCAGAGCCCUGAUAUAUACGGUCAGGCUCCAAGAGGUGAUACAGAGUAUGGUGUUUCUCAAAUGUAAUAGGCCAUGCAUCUCAAAGAAACAGUGUCCUAUAAACCAAUGUCCUAACAUUUUCAUCUCAUUAUGAUGAAAAGAAUCAAAGCAAGGCCCAGCCCAGAGAGGAGAAUCAUUCCUAACUCUAGUAGGUCUUAGGCAUCUCUUCACGACCCUUCACGCUGGUGAACUCUUGACUUCCUUUCAAGGAAGGCAUUUCGUGUUUCCUUCUGAGCGUGUCAUCCACAAGGCUGAGAAAAUAUUUUAUUUGCUAUAAAUUUAUGUUAAUAGUUCAGAAGUUUAGCAAUGGUGUUUGGGACACGGCACGUCUGCCAACCUUGAUGAGUGAGAGUAAGAAGGGCUGCUACAGACUGCACAUCUGCAGAAGGGCAGAAGAGCUUCUCUUCCAAGUGCCCGAGCCCAGGCCCCCAGCCAGGAGCAAGCCCUGGCAGUGCCUCUCCUCCGCCUGUGUGGGGCUAGGCCAGGGCCCAGCUGCAGCUGUGCCUUGGUCUUGUGUGGCCACCCAUGCCAAGGGCAAAGCCCACUCCAGAAGGAAUCUCCUGUGGCAGAGCUCUGCGUGCUGUGGCUGCCCACUCUGAGAGGAGGCCAGAGUAUUUGUUAAACAAUGUUCGUUUUAUUUGAGAUCACCCUAUCAUAGGAGUGAACCCUUAAAACCCUUGUCUAAGCCAGUGUGUCUUAAAUAACACCCAAGCCAAGAAACAGCUAUAAUAAUUCUGAUUUUUUCCUUUUGUUCUAACAAAGAUUCAAACUAGUGUUUUAUACUUUCAAAUGAAGAAACUUCAUUUAAAAAGUCAUAGACAAAUGUUCAAGGCCACAAUUUUAAGCAGAUUAUUUCACAACCAACAGAAUGCAGGUCGUGAAAGCAAAGACGGAAUCACAGCCCUCCUCCUCCAAGUGGAAUAGAUUAACACCAAAAUAAAAUCAUCCCAUUUCACGGACCCUUGAUUCCUCAAAAGAGACUGGGCUAAAGAACUUUCUUUGCAUCAACCGAUGUCCAGUCCCAGGAACCCAAUUUAGGAGCUUAGGAGACCACAGAGACAUGGCUCAUGAUCAGUGAAUCUGACUCAUACUGUCUAAUAACUUUAAUUUCUCUGCAUAUUAACUUGGUUUUUGUUUCUCCUUCCUUUAGGAGUUGACUAGCUUUGCUUAUGCUCUCAAGUUGAUCCAUACAGUGCCAGAUUAUACCCUAUCAUAAGAGAUAGGGUCCCCUGAACACAAGAAGUCAUCUCCCCUUCUGGGACUGUGAACUCAAGAAAGCAGGAAGUAUGCCUCCCUUAUUCAUCACUGGGUCCCCAGUGCUUAGAACAGUGCCUGGCACAGAGACGGGGCUCUGUAAAGAUCUGCUGAAUGAACACUUUAUCCUCUUACUUCUUAUCCUUCAAGCCUCAGAUGUUCCCCCAGGAUGCCUUCUUCGUUUCCCCAGACUAGUUCAAGCUGCACCUCCGACGUGCUCCCACAGCCCCUGAGCUGCCUCCCUGCAGACGCCAUACCUGCCGUGGCUGCUUGUUUGCUGAGUAGCCUCUCCCACUGAACCCUGGGCAACUUGAGAUAAAUGAAGAUUCUGAGGCCAAAGGAGAAUUGCAGGGAAGAUAAAUCCUGAAAACUUUUCAAACAUUUCAGAAUGCACACUCCCUUUGAAGAGUAAAAAA
rnacentral:lncRNA from 1 species